rnacentral:rRNA from 1 species
UUUCGACCUGAGCUCA